rnacentral:rRNA from 1 species
UAGCAUAUCAAUAAGCGGAGGAAAAGAAACCAACAGGGAUUGCCCUAGUAACGGCGAGUGAAGCGGCAACAGCUCAAAUUUGAAAUCUGGCUUCGGCCCGAGUUGUAAUUUGCAGAGGAUGCUUCUGGCGCGGUGCCUUCCGAGUUCCCUGGAACGGGACGCCACAGAGGGUGAGAGCCCCGUAUGGUCGGACACCAAGCCUGUGUGAAGCUCCUUCGACGAGUCGAGUAGUUUGGGAAUGCUGCUCUAAAUGGGAGGUAAAUCUCUUCUAAAGCUAAAUACCGGCCAGAGACCGAUAGCGCACAAGUAGAGUGAUCGAAAGAUGAAAAGCACCUUGAAAAGGGGGUUAAAUAGUACGUGAAAUUGUUGAAAGGGAAGCACUUAUGACCAGACUUGGGCCGGGCGGCUCAUCAGGGGUUCUCCCCUGUGCAUUCCGCCCGGCACAGGCCAGCAUCGGUUUUCGCGGGGGGAUAAGACCGGCGGGAACGUAGCACCCUCCGGGGUGUGUUAUAGCCCACCGGACGAUACCCUCGCGGGGACCGAGGUCCGCGCUCCGCAAGGAUGCUGGCGUAAUGGUCAUCAGUGACCCGUCUUGAAACACGGACCAAGGAGUCGUCCAUUAGAGCGAGCGUUUGGGUGUAAAACCCGCACGCGUAAUGAAAGUGAACGCAGGUGAGAGCUUCGGCGCAUCAUCGACCGAUCCUGAUGUUCUCGGAAGGAUUUGAGUAAGAGUUUUAACGGACGGACCCGAAAGACAGUGAACUAUGCUUGUAUAGGGUGAAGCCAGAGGAAACUCUGGUGGAGGCUCGCAGCGGUUCUGACGUGCAAAUCGAUCGUCAAAUAUGAGCAUGGGGGCGAAAGACUAAUCGAACUGUCUAGUAGCUGGUUACCGCCGA